AUGGGAAGUUGCCUAAACUGUCCACGUCAAGCUCAUAAAAAAGUUGGGUAGUGGUACAAUGCAAUCUUUCUGGAGACACCAGUACCCAAAGGUGAUAAGCAUUUUGAGGAAUUUCUUCUCUAUGUCUUCUCCAUCCCUCAAUAGAGAAAGACAGGAAAAAUGAGAGGUUGAUCUCAACUACAAAAUUAUCCACUUCAGUCCUUUCAAGUGGAACCUUAUUAAAUUCUGUCAGCAGGAAUCAGGUCCUUGGCAUAGCAGAGUGAGUUAUGAAUGUUAGUUCCUGGGCUUGUCUUCUGAGCUACUUCUGUAGACCUCCCUUGAGACUUCUGGACUGAGAAGUAAAAGAAAACAUUGUGAAAAAUUUUCUUCAAGCAGUAACUGGACAUCUCUGCAGUUUACUGAUUGUGCGUUUCUAUUUUUGUAUAUUAUGUUUGAAUUAUUUAAUCACUUCAAUUUCUAGAGAGACUUUUAAUCAACUGGAUUAAAAUAUAUUGCAUUUUGGAAUGUGUAGUGUAGGAUUCAUGUAUUUUCAUUCACCAGUUUCAUCAUGGUUGUUGUUGGUCCUCAGUGAGAUUUUUUUUUGGUGAUGAGAUUUAACAAGGAUGGGAGUUGUGAAAAGGUUGGGAAAGUAUGGAUUGUAACCGUUCCGGUGUUUUUCUGUGAAGGUUUCAGUAACAGUAGUGAUAGGGUUGGCAUAAUUUUGACUAUGAGCAUUUAUGUUGAAAAAAUGCUCAAGCUACUUUAUCACUACAAUAUUUUUGAGGUAUAUUUGCUCUAACAACUGCUACUAGAUUGUAACAAUGAACACUAACACCAAAAAUCAAUUCAAGAGCUAAGGGAGAUGCUUUAUUUACUGUUCAAAGCUUUGGAAAUUUCAAUAAAAAAUUUGUCUAUUUGA